CAGUCGCCGCGGUAAUACGAAGGGUGCAAGCGUUACUCGGAAUUACUGGGCGUAAAGCGUGCGUAGGUGGUGGUUUAAGUCCGUUGUGAAAGCCCUGGGCUCAACCUGGGAAUGGCAAUGGAUACUGGCAAGCUAGAGUGUGUCAGAGGAUGGUGGAAUUCCCGGUGUAGCGGUGAAAUGCGUAGAGAUCGGGAGGAACAUCAGUGGCGAAGGCGGCCAUCUGGGACAACACUGACGCUGAGGCACGAAAGCGUGGGGAGCAAACAAGAUUAGAGACCCCGGUAGUCCCUGUCUCUUAUAC
rnacentral:rRNA from 1 species